UUCACUUUCUUAACUGCUGAGGGAUCUUCUUGUUGGCCUGGGGAUAGAUGGAAAAUGGAAAGGGGAGGCUUUCAGCUUUUCCCUGGCCGCCGGGAGCUGGACUUUAAUGCCCGCAGCCGGCCGAGCCUCAGGAGGUAGCCAAGCCCUGUGCUAAGUGCUGGAGUUGCAAAGUCUAGAGGGAAGCAGCUCCUGCCAUGAAGGGACUUACAUUUUAAAGUGAAAACAACCUGUGUAUAUGUAUAAAAAAAAAAAAAAGAAUGAAGAGGUCCUAAGACACUGUGCUAAAUACUGAGUAUACAACAGAAGACAAAACAUGAUCCCUGCCAUCAGGGAGCUUACAUUCUAAUGUGGGAGACACCAUGUAGCAGGAAGAAGCUCAAGAAUUGACAUGGGAACAGAGGCAUAAGUACCAGCCCCACGCACAUACCUGGAGGCCCUCAGGAAGCUCCACCAUAUGGGCACCCCCAAGCCAUUUCAUGAUGUGUGUAACACUAGUGCUAGAAAAGAGAGAAAAUGUAUACACAUUAGAUUUGCGCAUACAAAUAGAAGAAACAUGUAAGUGGCCAGCAAUGCACUGUUGUUUGCUCACAAGUGGAAGACUCACAGUAUGAUGGGAAAACUCAAGCAAAAUAUAGUAUCAUAGAAGAAGACAACAAUGUGAAAACAGCUACAAACAAAGCCUCAAAGAAAAAAUGCUCAUCAGACACAAGCCCAGUAAGAAUUCCUGGAAGAGUUAAAGAGCUGAGCGUGUUGGGGAAUGAAAAUUAUGAAAAGGGAAUUAACAGGUUGGUUAAAAAAAAGAAAGCACAGAAAAUUCUGAAGAAAAUAACACUUUAAAAAGCAGAAUUAGCAUAAGUAAGAUAAACACAAGAAUUCCUUGAAGAAAAGAAGUUCUUAAAAAAUAGAAAAGGCCAAAUGGAAAAGGAGAUACAAAAAUUCACUGAAGAAAAGAAUUCCUUAAAAAUUAGAAUUGGGCAAGUAGAAGCUAAUGAC